rnacentral:lncRNA from 1 species
GCGGCCUGCAGACUCCAUGCCUUUCGGCGUCCACCCUCGCGCCCCAGUCCCGGCCCACUGCGUACCCCUUCCCUGACCUGGACCUUUCCGGGCCGUGUGCUCCUAGUCGUCCUCUCCUCGAGGUGCCCCGCUGUGACCAGCAGACCUGCACACAGACGCAAGACAGGGUAGGGGGCGGGGAGUGGGGAGGAGGGACGGACUGACUGACACCCCCCACCCCCCACUUUCUGGGCACCAGCCACUGCCUGCACGCUCCCCUAGCUCUCGGGUUCUCUUUUCGUCUCAGCCCCUGCGUCAAGCUUCGUCCUCCGUGCUCCCACCUCCCCACCCCGCAAAGCUUGCCAUUUCUUUUCAGAUGAGAAGUGGAAGCGAAGCAUUUUUAGAAACUAUUUCCAAAUGUCUGUACCCCCCUCCCGGGGGACGGGGGAGGUACUCGCCUCCCCACCCCGCCCCAAAGACCACCAUAUUUUGCACAGAAAUGUGGGCGCGGGGGGCGGGGCUGGAGCUUAGGGAAAGGCCUGGACUCCGCCAUCCCGAUUCUGUCAACCCCAUUCCCCGGGUUACUAGGCAGCGCCGACACUCACACCGAUUUAAGAGGGUAGAGGGAACUUACUUCUUCUGCUUUCCCUCUCGACCAAAGGGUAAUAGGGAGAUGGUGGACAGGCAAAAAAAAGACCGGGACGAGAGGGACUUGGGCACAUAGAGGCUCCUGGUCACGUGAGGGACGCGCGUCACUGCCGAACUCAGAUCCCCAGUUACCACUUUGAUCUGCGGCCCUGCCGCAGCCACCUGCUAGUGCCUGCUAGUGUUCUCUGACCCGAGACACACCAGGCAUUGUCACUCACCUCUCUUUGUAUUUGCCUUUUCCUGGUUGCCAGAGACGGUCCGCAUCUAGUCUCGGGUAGUAUUGCCUCUUCCUCUGUGCUACUUCCCCUAGUACCACCUCUUUCUCCCCUCCUCCCUUCCUUAGCCACCAAGGCCCCUUAUUUCCCCUGCAGUUCAGAUCCUGCACUGACGUUUGACUGUUCACCUUCAUAAAUCAGUAUUAUAUCCUUAUAUCCCAACACUCUCAGUUUUAAUCCACAUCCGUAUCUCCAUCAUGUCCAUUUAGGCUCAUUCAGCAUGUUUCAUCUCUUGUCACUUUCAUGGGAGACAAUCUUUCACUUUUUCUUGACAUCACAUUUUGUUUUUUUGAGCCCCCAGAUCUAAAUUGGUAAUCAUUCAGUUCGAGACCUGUAGAAAGAGUUGAGUUUGUAAAGUUUGUAGAUCUAAAAAGAAUGAAUACUUUGAUUUUCAUAAAUCAAAUACGUAUUUGUCCAUCUAAGUACAAACAGUCCAGAACACUUAUUAUCUGAAAUGGGAUAGUCCUUGGUGGAGAGCUUGGCAUUAUUCUCUCUAUGUGUGUAUAUAUAUACACACAUAUAUAUGCGUGUAUAUAUAUACACGCAUAUAUAUGCAUGUAUACACACUGAAUAGAUUAUAAAAUAUAUUUAUAUACAUGUGUACAUAUAUAUAAAUUAUUCAGUAGUUAUUCAUAAUAGAAUAAAUAGAUUUUACUGGGACUCUCAAUCCUUAACCAGCCACCUCUUGGUGCUUCUGGUUGAGGAAGUUUAUAUUAAUUCACUAAAUCAACAAAUAUUUGAGUUCUGGGACUGCUGGACCCCAAAAGAUAGAUGCAGCAGGGAGGGCAUUCCAUAUUAAACUAUGCAAUAAUUCUGUUGACCACAUACUGAAUAGCAGGACUACAAUUAUGCUAGCAUUUUCAAUUGUCAUUGCAAUAUGUAUUUUUUUUUAUCUAACAGUAUUUUAUGAUCUUUAACCUUAUGCCUGCCUCUCAUCUACUCACAUCAGCCUGGAUGCUACUUUCUUAUGCAGAUGCUCUUUCCCCUACAGAGCAUACUACUUCCCUUCCCUCUGUGUUUUACACUUUCAGGGUAGAUGACCAUCUGAUCUGUGAGGAUCCUGGGAUUUUGUUUUAAAGCCAGGCUGUUUAGUAAGUUUCUGAACAGAAAUUCAUGUGAAAUUUCCCCUUUUAAGAACUGUUUGUUGCUUUUCUCUGAUAUCUGAUUAACUUUGUGUUGAGAUAGCAUUUAGACAAAUAUUAGUUUACCUUCAUAUCUUUUUUAUAACUGUUUUACUUUCCAAUUUCUCUGUGAGAUGUGUCUUUAAAACCAAGUUUCACUAUGCCUUCUUAUUUUUUCAUCAAGGGUUGGUUUCUCAUUUGUAUAGUUUCUUUCCUAGAGAAGUCCCAUUUCAUUCAUUUCUAUCCUUAUUCUUCUUAAAUCCUGUGAUGGAGAACUCACUGCCUUAUAAGAUAUCUCACUGAAAUCUCAGAAAGUUCUAAUCAUUCAGAGUUUUAAAAUUAAUUAAUUAAUUGAUUUUUGCUUCUGUUGAGUUAAAAUCUGCCUCCCAGUAGUUUACACACAUUGGUCCUGGCUCUGCCCUGUGGAGUGGUACAGAACAGGUAUAAAAUAAUAAAAGUACCUUUCAUCCUUGACAGCUUAAAAUUGCCACAGCUUCUAUUCUGGUUCUUUCCCCUUCCAUUCUGUGAGACACACUAGGCAAUCUACUCAAUCUUCUGUGACUCAGCUUCCUCAUCUACAACAUUGGAGACAAUAAUAGUACCUACCUCAUAGAAUUGUAAGAGGAAUAACUGAGUCAAUGAGUCAACCUAUGUAAAGGAUCUGGAAUAGAGCCUAGCACAUAGAAAGCACUCUAUAAGCAUUAACUAUAAUAAUAGUAAUAAUAAUAGUAUGACACAGUGCUAACAAUACUACUAAUUAACAUCCUUUUAAUAUUAAGAUUAAUUGUGUACUUUAUGCCAGGCAUUGCACUAAGUAUUUUCAAUAUGCCAUCUCACAUAAUCCUUAAAGAAUUAUGUUCUCACCAAGACUUUUUUGGGGGGUUUAACCUCCCCAGUUAUUUCAGCCAUUUCUGAUGUGACAUAUUUUUUCAAAGUCAUUCAUUAUUCUACACAUUCCUGAAUGUGUAAAUGUCUCUGAAAACACUGAAUAUACUGCCUAGUGCAGAAUGGAGUGAUCUUACCACCUCCUUCAUUUUAGAAUAGGUGCUAUACAUCUAUGGAUGCAUCCUAAAAUUAUAGUAGAUUUUGUGAAUGCCAUAUCACACAAUUGAAUCCAGUUUAAGUUGCAGUCAACUAGACCCCUCCCUUAUUUCAUACUUCAAGCUGUUAAUCCACUUCUGUAAAUCUUUUUAGUUUUAACUCAAGUAUAGAAGCUUCUAAUUUUUUCUGGGUUAAAUUUUGUCUCAUUAGAUUCACUCCCUCAAUCUUUGAAUCCAGAUUCUAUCAUUCUGUAUAUUAGCUGCAAAUCAUUAAUUUAAAGCAUGCCACUAGUACUAAAUAGGGUGAUAAAGUCAGCAAACUCGGGAAAGAUCUAUAGGUAUCUCAGCAGAGAGUUCUGACUCCAAGUGAAAAAAAUUUCUUUUCCUUAUUGCAUGUGAAACCAGGAGUAUGCCCUGCCGAGCUAGUUCCCUUCCUCUCAUCUCUCAUGUGGCUUCUCAGAUUGCUUGCUUUCUAGUGCUGCUAAUAGAAGACACUAUAGUCCCUGAAAGCUCCUGCACCGGUAUAAAUUAAACUUUGAUGAGAACUUAGUAAAUAUGGAGGGCAGAUAAGGAGGUGUGAGGAAAUAGAAGCAGGAGAGGAGGAAUGAAGACCGAGUCUCCAUGUGGGCUCUAAGUCUGCCCAGCAGUAGCUGAUCUCGGGUUCCCUUAAGAGAAAGGACUCUCAAGAGGGAAUAAGGUAAAGGUGAUUCUGCUACCAAAUGACAAUCAUUUGUUACAAAGAAGUGUGAUCUGCUACUUGUUUGUGUAGGGUUGGGGUUGGGGUGGGGCUGUCCUUCUGAUGGAUUUGAUUUGAUACCCUUGAUUUAGGGUCCUAUGAGGGUAUAUUGCUUGGUCCAUUAUUACUAAUGAGUGUUUGUUUUGAAACCCAUUUCAAAAGUGUGACAACUGAGCUCUGGGAGGUGACAAAUUGUUCCCAUGGAAACACAGAUGAUAGUAAGUAGCUGAGAUGGGAUUUAAAACCUAAGGCUAGGUGCAGUGGCUCACGCCUGUAAUCCCAACACUUUGGGAGGCCAUGAUGGGAGAAUAGCUUGAGCCCAGGAAUUCAAGACCAGCCUGGGUAACAUAGUGAGAUCCUGUCUCUAGAAACGAUAAAAAUUAGCCAGGCAUGGUGGUGCACACCUGCGGUCCCAGGUGGUCCAGUUCCUUGGGAGGCCGAGGUUAGAGGCCUGGGAACUCAAGGCUUCAGUGAGCCGUGAUUGUGCCACUGUACUCCAGCCUGGCCAAUAAGAGAUUCCAUCUGAAAACAAAAGAAAACAAAAAAAACAAAACAUAGGCAGUGUGGCAUGAGAGAUUGUACCUUUAACCACUAUGUAAAACUGCUCCUGGGCAGUGGGCUCCACCCACAUUUACACACAGCACUGGGCAGCUGCUGCCAUGACAACAGUCUCCAAGUGGUGUGGCCUUUCUCUGGGGGAUCUGAGAAAGCCCAGGGUGGGUUUCUCCUCCAGGGAUUCCUGUUGCUGGGGAGGCUGCACUUCUGUGGCAGGAACAGAACCCUCCUUCUUUGCGAGUCCCCUUGGUUUCACUUUGCAGGCUCUGUCUGCCUGGACUUGAGGAGUUCUGCCCUCUCCAGCCCAGACGUUCCCUCUGUGGCUGCUGCCUCUGCAUUCUUUCCUAAUGGCACUAAUGGCAGUACCUGCUCUCAGACCUGGACCUGUUGACUGCAGCAGGCCCUGUCCAGCCUGUGACUCUCAUGGGCUCCUCCCCUACCCCUGCCCCAGGGGAAAUUCCCAAGUAGGAAAAGCAAUGACAGGAGCCUCCUCUUUUCUGUUUCUGCUUGUGGCCUCAUCCUAACUGGGGCUCAAACACACACACGCACACACGCACACACACACACACACACACACACACACACACACACCCUGUAUAUGCUCAGAGAAACAAGGAAGGGGCUCUGAGGAAAGGCUAAGUAGCAACUCAGGCUGUUGGAAAUGCACAGGGACAGGGAAGGUGGGUCCAGACCUGGGCUGAAGAGAGACAGUACUAGGCUUGGGUCUGGGCAAGACUUAUGCUGUCAUUCACUCCCUGGAGGCUCUGGAGGUGUGGCAGCCUCCUACCCCUCUCCUUGCCUCUAUUUGUAUCAUUUUUCUCCCUAAAUGGUGGGGGCGAGGGCUGUGGUAGAACCAUGAAUGAGGUCCCUUCUAGCUCUAGGAAGCAAUGAUUCCAUACUGCCCACCAUACUGAGGUGGGAGGGCCUUUGCUUACGAACACGAUUUGGCCUGAGUGGGGACCACCUGCGGACUGUGGCUGCUGCUGCAUUUCCCAGAAUCCAGACAAGCUCAGAGCACAUAACUCAUUCUAUUUUGGCCUUCCCUGCUGGGCUGCAACAGAGCCACAGCUUAGCCUUGGCCUUUCAGGGACUUUUACAAGCACCCAGAACAACCUCAGCCUGAGGCCUGGGAAGGAGGCUGGGACAGAGGCAGGGCUGGCUCCAUAAUUUGCAGGGCCCAGUGUAAAAGACAAUGCAAGGCCUCUAUUCAAAAAGCAAGAAAAAAAAGUACCAUUUUAGGUAAUAAAAUAUAAAGCGUUUUUUUCUCCUGUUGCCUUUUUUUUAACGUCGUGUUU